rfam:Schistosoma mansoni, Puerto Rico, WGS project CABG01000000 data, contig: 0164
AUCCAGCUGACGAGUCCCAAAUAGGACGAAACGCCGGUCCUGGAU